rnacentral:rRNA from 1 species
GACGAACGCUGGCGGCGUGCCUAAUACAUGCAAGUCGAACGAGAGCGACCGGUGCUUGCACUGGUCAAUCUAGUGGCGAACGGGUGAGUAACACGUGGGUAACCUGCCCAUCAGAGGGGGAUAACAUUCGGAAACGGAUGCUAAAACCGCAUAGGUCUUCGAACCGCAUGGUUUGAAGAGGAAAAGAGGCGCAAGCUUCUGCUGAUGGAUGGACCCGCGGCGCAUUAGCUAGUUGGUGAGGUAACGGCUCACCAAGGCCGUGAUGCAUAGCCGACCUGAGAGGGUGAUCGGCCACAUUGGGACUGAGACACGGCCCAAACUCCUACGGGAGGCAGCAGUAGGGAAUCUUCCGCAAUGGACGCAAGUCUGACGGAGCAACGCCGCGUGAGUGAAGAAGGUUUUCGGAUCGUAAAACUCUGUUGUUAGAGAAGAAUAAGUGCUAGAGUAACUGUUAGCGCCUUGACGGUAUCUAACCAGAAAGCCACGGCUAACUACGUG